UUAUUAUUCCCUCCGAUCCUAAAUUGUUGUCGAAAUAUUACAUGUAUCUAAACAUUUUUUAAGAAUAGAUACAUCCAUAUUUGAGCAAAUUUGAGUCAAGGAUUUAGGAUCGGAGGGAAUACUUA
rnacentral:pre_miRNA from 1 species